GCAUAGCCGUAAACAUUGAUAAUCAGCAUACACUCAUUAUCCGCCAGGGUACUAUAAGCAUAAGCUCAAAACCCAAGGGACCUGGCGGUGCUUUAAAACCCCCUAGAGGAGCCUGUUCUAGAACUGAUAAUCCCCACUUAACCUCACCCUCCCUUGCCAAUCCCGCCUAUAUACCGCCGUCGUCAGCUUACCCCUUGAGAGCCCAAUAGUGAGCAAAAUUGGUAUAACCCUAAACGUCAGGUCGAGGUGUAGUAUAUGGGAGGGGAAGAAAUGGGCUACAUUCAUUUAUUAAUGAAAUACGAAUUGCAUGUUGAAAACACAUGUUUGAAGGAGGAUUUAGCAGUAAGAAGAAAAUAGAAUAUUCUUCUGAAAACGGCUCUAAAGCACG
rnacentral:rRNA from 1 species